ensembl:lncRNA
GUUCACCUGCUGUGGUCAAAAUACAAUGUCAAUACAGUAACACAAGCUUUCAGUUUAGAUCCAUAUUCAGUGACCCAUCUACAGUCACAAUUGAGGAUCAUCCUCAGCUGACAGUGAUUCCUACAGUCAUCAGAAAGAGAGACUCAGUUCAGCUGAUCUGUGAGACUCCUCCAUCUGUCUAUGUGUCUGACUGUAUCUUCAGUGAAGUGGGGAGAUCUAGUCUGCCAGGCUCAACCUGUAAACAGACGGUCACAGGAUCUCAGCUGCUCUCUUGGACAGGUCAACCAUUACCAGCUGUGGUCCAGGUCACAUGUCACUACACUGUAGGGAUGUCUCACACAUCUCCUGUCAGUGACCCAGUUUCUGUCACUGUCCAGGAUCUGCCGGGAGAUCUCAUGAUCAGUGAUCCAACAACUAAACAGACAUCUUCUACAGCAGGUUCGACAGUAAGUUCUCAUUUGACCUCCAAAAUCUCUGUGAGACCAAUUACCAGAUCAACCACUGCUAUCACGCCAGCAACUUCAUCAGGGAAACUAUUAUGGCUGGGUGUGGCUUCUGGAGUGGGCAUGUUCUUGGUUGGAUUGACAGCUGUCUGUCUCUGCAGGAGGACCAAGAACAAAUAUUCUCAGAGAUCUCAAGCCCAACAGGAUGAACAUAACCAAUUUCCUGCUGAAGAGAACGAACAGUCAUCUGGAAAUGGCAAUUCUGGUACAUACCACAUGUACUGCUCAGUCCCUGAUCGACCAGCAACCUCAGCCCAGACAGGUGGGUUGUACAGUCUUCUGCAGACACACUGAAACUACACCACUGGUUUUCUGUUACUAACUUUAAAAGGUCUUAAACAAAUACCCUCUUUUUAACAUAAUGUCUUUUGUUCACAUCACUUUACUUGAAAUUAACACUGACACGUGACUUUUUUUACAUAUGCAUAAUAUCAAUUUUGGUGUUUAAGGUAUUCGGGACAUACUCUUUUUGUAUUUGUUUCUUCUUUCGCCCCUGGUAAAUUAUGUAACAUUUUCAGUAUUAAUGUUUAUUGUCAGCUGUGUGAGGAGUUUUCCAUAGUGCUUGGAUUCAGUUUCCAAUAUUUAUUCCAGUAUUUGGAGUCAAA